GGGCUUCGCAGGCGGUUUUUUAAGUCUGAUGUGAAAGCCCCCGGCUCAACCGGGGAGGGUCAUUGGAAACUGGGGAACUUGAGUGCAGAAGAGGAGAGUGGAAUUCCACGUGUAGCGGUGAAAUGCGUAGAGAUGUGGAGGAACACCAGUGGCGAAGGCGACUCUCUGGUCUGUAACUGACGCUGAGGAGCGAAAGCGUGGGGAGCGAACAGGAUUAGAUACCCUGGUAGUCCACGCCGUAAACGAUGAGUGCUAAGUGUUAGGGGGUUUCCGCCCCUUAGUGCUGCAGCUAACGCAUUAAGCACUCCGCCUGGGGAGUACGGUCGCAAGACUGAAACUCAAAGGAAUUGACGGGGGCCCGCACAAGCGGUGGAGCAUGUGGUUUAAUUCGAAGCAACGCGAAGAACCUUACCAGGUCUUGACAUCCUCUGACAAUCCUAGAGAUAGGACGUCCCCUUCGGGGGCAGAGUGACAGGUGGUGCAUGGUUGUCGUCAGCUCGUGUCGUGAGAUGUUGGGUUAAGUCCCGCAACGAGCGCAACCCUUGAUCUUAGUUGCCAGCAUUCAGUUGGGCACUCUAAGGUGACUGCCGGUGACAAACCGGAGGAAGGUGGGGAUGACGUCAAAUCAUCAUGCCCCUUAUGACCUGGGCUACACACGUGCUACAAUGGACAGAACAAAGG
rnacentral:rRNA from 1 species